rnacentral:lncRNA from 1 species
CUGUACUGUGCUGCAAGUGUGUAGUACUCCAUUGGACAGUCUCUCGCUGAUUGUCUGGGCAGCAACAAUGGGAGGGAAAUGGCUUCAGGAAGGUAGCUCGAUAGGAGCUGCAUGUUUUUCCUAGUAUUGGAUUUUGUAGUACUAUAUCAGAUACAGAAGCCCAAAGGUUAUUCUGUAUACUGUAUAUCAUUUGGGCGAAAUUCAAAGAGUAAAACACGUCGUUAGUCUAUGAUUGAACUUGCCAUCCAUGAGCUCGUUCUUAUGCGAGCCUCGCUAUUAAGAUCGGAGCUACCUGAUCCUUGAUGCGCUCGGCGGAUUGUUUGAUAUUGGUUGGUAGGGUCUUUUGUUGUUUAUAUCCUGAGGGCUCUUGAUUGGUUUGGUUGUCUGUGGAGUUGAAGUUGAUUGCUCUGAAAGAAGUGAUGAUGAUAACAGCCAAGUCGGCUAGGGUGCCCUUUCUUGCGGGCGUAUUGUAGUGGUGUUCGUCUGGUUUUUGGUUUUUUGCAAAUAAAUUAGGCAAUCUUUACCUUUUUCUUAAUGAAUUGAGUUCUAAUAAGGUAUCGACUUUUUAAAAAUUAUCACAUUGCCUGCAAAAUGUGGUGGCCUGUUCACUAACUUGUAAGAUUGUGUGUGUGAUAUGAAAAUAUACCCUCGUGGACGAAAGAAAACUGGUACCCUCAUAGUUGCAUUACUCAGCAGGACCGUCUCGGUCAAAAUUACAGAUGUUUAAAAGUUCAUCAGGACAAGAACCUAUCCGCACAGCGUAAUUGGUUCAGUUCGUCCAUAACUAAUCGUUAAAUCACUAGGUUUAUUCUGGAUACGAUUGACAUGAGCAAUUCCAACUAAGCAUUGAUCAUGAAACAUGGAGUUUAUUUCAUGAAUAAGAAACCCAAACCGGGAACAAUCAUCAUUGCGCUCAGAAACCAUUUUCGCCGUCUCUAGACAGUCCGAUUCCAAUGUCGAUAGUGAUCUAACAAUAAUCCUACACCUUCAAAGAAUUUACAAACGUUUUACUUAACUUUUCAAACAAUUCUCUCCCCCCUCUCGCCUGAAUUCAACUGGGGUGGCUUCCUUCAUCCCAUAAUUACAUGCUAUUCUAUCUAAAAUCAUAGAUUAAUGAAAUGAGGCGAAAAGCCUCCACUCUACAAAGAUGAAUUAUGUAGAGCAUGGCAUAAAACGGAAUAGACUUUGUGAUGCUUGAAAUGAGGCGAAAAGCCUCUCGCUGACUGUCUGGGUGGUAGCCACACAUCAGGAAGAAAAUGGCUUCAUGAAGGCAGCUCGAUAGGAGCUGCAUGUUUUUUCUAGUAUUGGAUCUUAUACUAUCAGAUUCAGAAGACCAAAGGGUAUUCUGUAUUCUACUCCCUCCAUCCGAAAAAGCUUGUCCCUCAAAUGCUAGAUACACCCAUUUGAGGGACAAACUUUUUUGGAUGGAGAGAGUAUACCAAUUGAGCGAAAUUCAAAGAGUAAAAUGCGUCGUUAGUCUAUGAACUUGCCAUUGAUGUGCUCAUUCUCAUGCGAGUCCCUUUAUUAAGAUCAGAGCUAUUUAUCCUUGAUGCUUUCGGUCGAUUGUUUGACAUUGGUUGUGAGGGUUCUCUUGUGUUGUUUAUCCUCAGGGUUCUUGAUUGGUUGUCCGAAGAGGAGUCGAAGUCUCUUACUCUGAAAGAAGUGAUGACUAUGAUACUUUAUUGGCUACCUUAUGAUGUGUAUGGAUCUUGUAGAUAGCCAUGUCGGCCAAGGUGCCCUUUCUAGUAAGCGUGUUGUAAUGGUGAUUGUCUGGUUUUCACAAUUAACCAAGCAAUGAUAUCUAUUUUUCUAUUUUUUCUGCAUGUAAAAUGUGGCGGCCUGGCCACUAGCUUGUAAGAUUGUGUGUGCAAGAUGUAAACAUACCCUCAUGGACCCAAAAAACCUGGUCUCAUGUUCAUGCAACUCACAUGGUGCUCAUUUGGCCACAACAAGACUUAUUUGACGAUGUGUGGGUAUAUAGUUGGUAGUAUCUCAUUGGUGCCGGCAUUUGUAGCAGUCUUGCCCGUCCCAGGUGAGGGUGCACACACUACAACCCACGGCGAAGCUCCAUGGGACAUGGGAGGUCUUGGGCACGCCCUCACCGCGAAUGAUGGGAGCGUGGCGGCGGGCAUGGGCAGGGCCCCUCGAGCCUGCCUGGUCUUUGCUUGAUCGAUCUUCCUCGGUUCUGCCUGGUAGGCCGGUUCUUUUGGCCGCGACGGCCACUGGCUGUACCGUGCUGCAAGUGUGUAGUACUCCAUUGGACAGUCUCUCACUGAUUGUCUGGGCAGCAACAACGGGAGGGAAAUGGCUUCAGGAAGGUAGCUCGAUAGGAGCUGCAUGUUUUUCCUAGUAUUGGAUUUUGUAGUACUAUAUCAGAUACAAAAGCCCAAAGGUUAUUCUGUAUACUGUAUAUCAUUUGGGCGAAAUUCAAAGAGUAAAACACGUUGUUAGUCUAUGAAUGAACUUGCCAUCCAUGAGCUCGUUCUUAUGCGAGCCUCGCUAUUAAGAUCGGAGCUACCUGAUCCUUGAUGCGCUCGGUGGAUUGUUUGAUAUUGGUUGGUAGGGUCUUUUGUUGUUUAUAUCCUGAGGGCUGUUGAUUGGUUUGGUUGUCUGUGGAGUCGAAGUUGAUUGCUCUGAAAGAAGUGAUGAUGAUAACAGCCAAGUCGGCUAUGGUGCCCUUUCUUGCGGGCGUAUUGUAGUGGUGUUCGUCUGGUUUUUGUUUUUUUGCAAAUAAAUCAGGCAAUCUUUACCUUUUUCUUAAUGAACUGAGUUCUAAUAAGGUAUCGACUUUUUAAAAAUUAUCACAUUGCCUGCAAAAUGUGGUGGCCUGUUCACUAACUUGUAAAAUUGUGUGUGUGAUAUGAAAAUAUACCCUCGUGGACGAAAGAAAACUGGUACCCUUAUAGUUGCAUUACUCAGCAGGACCGUCUCGGUCAAAAUUACAGAUGUUUAAAAGUUCAUUAGGACAAGAACCUAUCCGCACAGCGUAAGUGGUUCAGUUCAUCCAUAACUAAUCGUUAAAUCACUAGCUUUAUUCUGGAUACGAUUAACAUGAGCAAUUCCAACUAAGCGUUGAUCAUGAAACAUGGAGUUUAUUUCAUGAAUAAGAAACCCAAACCGGGAACAAUCAUCAUUGCGCUCAGAAACCAUCUUCGCCGUCUCUAGACAGUCCGACUCCAAUGUCGAUAGUGAUCUAACAAUAAUCCUACACCUUCAAAGAAUGUACAAACGUUUUACUUAACUUUUCAAACAAUUCUCUCCCCCCUCUCGCCUGAAUUCAACUGGGGUGGCUUCCUUCAUCCCAUAAUUACAUGCUAUUCUAUCUAAAAUCAUAGAUUAAUGAAAUGAGGCGAAAAGCCUCCGCUCUACAAAGAUGAAUUAUGUAGAGCAUGGCAUAAAACGGAAUAGACUUUGUGAUGCUUGAAAUGAGGCGAAAAGCCUCUCGCUGACUGUCUGGGUGGUAGCCACACAUCAGGAAGGAAAUGGCUUCAUGAAGGCAGCUCGAUAGGAGCUGCAUGUUUUUUCUAGUAUUGGAUCUUAUACUAUCAGAUUCAGAGGACCAAAGGGUAUUCUGUAUUCUACUCCCUCCGUCCGAAAAAGCUUGUCCCUCAAAUGCUAGAUACACCCAUUUGAGGGACAAACUCUUUUGGAUGGAGAGAGUAUACCAAUUGAGCGAAAUUCAAAGAGUAAAAUGCGCCGUUAGUCUAUGAACUUGCCAUUGAUGUGCUCAUUCUCAUGCGAGUCCCUUUAUUAAGAUCAGAGCUAUUUAUCCUUGAUGCUUUCGCUCGAUUGUUUGACAUUGGUUGUGAGGGUUCUCUUGUGUUGUUUAUCCUCAGGGUUCUUGAUUGGUUGUCCGAAGCGGAGUCAAAGUCGCUUACUCUGAAAGAAGUGAUGACUAUGAUACUUUAUUGGCUACCUUAUGAUGUGUAUGGAUCUUGUAGAUAGCCAUGUCGGCCAAGGUGCCCUUUCUAGUAAGCGUGUUGUAAUGGUGAUUGUCUGGUUUUCACAAAUUAACCAGGCAAUGAUAUCUAUUUUUCUGUUUUUUCUGCAUGUAAAAAUGUGGCGGCCUGGCCACUAGCUUGUAAGAUUGUGUGUGCAAGAUGUAAACAUACCCUCAUGGACCCAAAAAACCUGGUCUCAUGUUCAUGCGACUCACAGGGUGCUCAUUUGGCCACAACAAGACUUAUUUGACGAUGUGUGGGUAUAUAGUUGGUAGUAUCUCAUUGGUGCCGGCAUUUGUAGCAGUCUUGCCCGUCCCAGGUGAGGGUGCACACACUACAACCCACGGCGAAGCUCCAUGGGACAUGGGAGGUCUUGGGAACGCCCUCACCGCGAAUGAUGGGAGCGUGGCGGCGGGCAUGGGCAGGACCCCUCGAUCCUGCCUGGUCUUUGCUUGAUCGAUCUUCCUCGGUUCUGCCUGGUAGGCCGGUUCUUUUGGCCGCGACGGCUACUGGCUGUACUGUGCUGCAAGUGUGUAGUAGUCCAUUGGACAGUCUCUCACUGAUUGUCUAGGCAGCAACAACGGGAGGGAAAUGGCUUCAGGAAGGUAGCUCGAUAGGAGCCGCAUGUUUUUCCUAGUAUUGGAUUUUGUAGUACUAUAUCAGAUACAGAAGCCCAAAGGUUAUUCUGUAUACUGUAUAUCAUUUGGGCGAAAUUCAAAGAGUAAAACACGUCGUUAGUCUAUGAAUGAACUUGCCAUCCAUGAGCUCGUUCUUAUGCGAGCCUCGCUAUUAAGAUCGGAGCUACCUGAUCCUUGAUGCGCUCGGUGGAUUGUUUGAUAUUGGUUGGUAGGGUUCUUGUGUUG